rnacentral:rRNA from 1 species
AAGGGCGCAUGGUGGAUGCCUUGGCACUAGAAGCCGAUGAAGGACGUUACUAACGACGAUAUGCUUUGGGGAGCUGUAAGUAAGCUUUGAUCCAGAGAUUUCCGAAUGGGGAAACCCAGCAUGAGUUAUGUCAUGUUAUCGAUAUGUGAAUACAU